rnacentral:rRNA from 1 species
UUCCGGUUGAUCCUGCGGAGGCCACUGCUAUGGGAGUCCGACUAAGCCAUGCGAGUCUUGGGGGGCUUUGCCCACCGGCGGACGGCUCAGUAACACGUGGACAACCUACCCUCGGGAGGGGGAUAACCCCGGGAAACUGGGGCUAAACCCCCAUAGGGCAUAGGUGCUGGAAGGCCCUAUGCCCGAAAUUCCGAAAGGAGCCCGAGGAUGGGUCUGCGGCCUAUCAGGUUGUAGUGGGGGUAACGGCCCCACUAGCCUACGACGGGUACGGGCCCUGGGAGGGGGAGCCCGGAGAUGGACUCUGAGACAAGAGUCCAGGCCCUACGGGGCGCAGCAGGCGCGAAACCUCCGCAAUGCGGGAAACCGCGACGGGGGGACUCCCAGUGCCUACGCUAUGCGUAGGCUGUUCCCGAGCCUAAAAAGCUCGGGGAGUAAGGGCUGGGCAAGACGGGUGCCAGCCGCCGCGGUAAUACCCGCAGCCCGAGUGGUGGCCACUUUUAUUGGGCCUAAAGCGUCCGUAGCCGGCCCGGUAAAUGCUUGGGUAAAUCGUCUGGCCUAACCAGACGAAUUCCGGGCAGACUGCCGGGCUAGGGACCGGAGGAGGGAGAGGGUACUCCAGGGGUAGGGGUGAAAUCAGCAAGGUGAGUUAUUCACCUUGCAGUCACAAUCCUGUAAUCCCUGGAGGACCACCGGUGGCGAAGGCGCUCUCCUAGGACGGGUCCGACGGUGAGGGACGAAAGCCAGGGGAGCGAACCGGAUUAGAUACCCGGGUAGUCCUGGCCGUAAACGAUGCGGGCUAGGUAUUGGGGCGGCUAAGAGCUGUCCCAGUGCCGUAGGGAAGCCGUUAAGCCCACCGCCUGGGGAGUACGGUCGCAAGGCUGAAACUUAAAGGAAUUGGCGGGGGAGCACUGCAACGGGAGGAGCGUGCGGUUUAAUUGGAGCAACGCCGGAAAU